AUUAUACAUACCGCACGAAGUGCGGCUUUGUUCACUAGUCUUAUAUAUAAUAAGAGUCUAAAUCACCUCAUGCUUGUUUGUCUAAUAUAUCCCCAAAUUUUAAGAUUUUAGAAGCCUUUCAUUGUCUUUUCACAUUCCCAAUUAUAUAUUUUUUUUCUCAAAAUAAAAAAGGAAAUUUCAUUUAUUAUUCUUAAAAUAUUUCCUAUUAUAAAAAAUACCUCCUUAAUUAUUUUAUACUGUUCUAUCUUAAUAAUGCCCCACUUUAUCCAAAAUACCUUCUUUAUUUAUUUUAUUUCAAAACUAAAAAUACUUAAAAAACUUAUUUCUCUACAUUUCUUAUCAUCAGCCGCCAUCCUCCCUCCCCCUUCCUACUUCUCUCUAGGUCCCUCUCAUCCACCUAAAGGAGCCACUGUUGUCAUCUAUUGAAGCACAAACCUCUGCCUCUCGUCUGCCUCCCCUCCGUCUCUCAUCUGCCGCCCCUCCGUCUCUCGUCCGCCGCCCCUCCGUCUCCCGUCGAAGACCAUAUCCUCACCACCUUCUAAUUGAAAGUCAAAGCUUGUGGGUUAAUGGCCCAUUUCAAUUUAGGUCCGGCCCUGUGUCUACUUGCUCCUGGUCUGCGAUUUAAUGCCUCGUACAGGCUCCCUCCCACGGACGAUGGCCCUCUCCUCUCUCUGUCUCCUAAAUCCUAAAUCCCAUCGGGUUGGGGCGAAGCAUAGCUUAUUCCACUCCUUCUAGAUUUGGUGUAGUGCUUAAUGGCUCCAACUGGAAAAAUCUUGGGUGAACAAGUGAAACGAAAGUGUAGUUUCUUAUUCUCCAGAGAAAGAGGUAGGAAAUUCAACUAAGAACAAGCAAUGCGGUUGAUUUCUUGCUUGCAAUCUUUGUGUAUAGAAGGAAAAACUAUAAGAUAAGUUGGGAUCUUAGUGGACCAAGGUAGAGUUUGAGCUUUUUUAUGAUGCUUAUUGGAAGUAUGGAAAAUAGUAGACCAAAGUGUGCCAUAUCUUAUUUCUUGAUACAACUUCCACUUUUGGAAUUAUUUUCUUUUUUUAAAAAAAAAUAAAUUAGAGGAGAUAAACUAGAGCUUGUUCUCUAUGAUAUGAAGUUUUUGUCUGCUUGGCAAAGAUAUAUUGAGGCAUUUCCACUAUUUCUCUUCUUAUGCACAUCAGAGUGUGUUCUCUACUUUGUAAUCAACUCUUCAUUUCUUUACAAGGCGUGUUUUCAAAAUUUUAAGAAAAUAAAUAAAAUGAUAAUUGUCAAA